GCUCCGACCUUUAUUGGAAGAGCGCUUUUAUUAGUUCAAAACCAAUCGCCGUGUGCCUCCGCGGUGCAAGCCGUGGUCGCGCGGCGCCCCAUUGGUGACUCUGGAUAACUUUGUGCUGAUCGCAUGGCUUCGUGCCGGCGACGCAUCUUUCAAAUGUCUGCCCUAUCAAAUGUCGAUGGUACGUGAUAUGCCUACCUGUA
rnacentral:rRNA from 1 species